rnacentral:rRNA from 1 species
UACGUAGGGAGCAAGCGUUGUCCGGAAUCAUUGGGCGUAAAGCGCGCGUAGGCGGCCCGGUAAGUCCGUUGUAAAAGUCGAAGGCUCAACCUUCGAAAGCCGAUGGAUACUGCCGGGCUAGAGUUCGGAAGAGGCGAGUGGAAUUCCUGGUGUAGCGGUGGAAUGCGCAGAUAUCAGGAGGAACACCUAUAGCGAAGGCAGCUCGCUGGUACGACACUGACGCUAAGGCGCGAAAGCGUGGGGAGCGAACAGGAUUAGAUACCCUGGUAGUCCACGCCGUAAACGAUGGGUACUAGGUGUGGGAGGUGUCGACUCCUCCCGUGCCGACGCUAACGCAUUAAGUACCCCGCCUGGGGAGUACGGCCGCAAGGCUAAA